rnacentral:lncRNA from 1 species
AGAAUGAUAGAAAGGCAAGUUAACUUACGUACCUACAAAAGAAAAGCAGAGGAGGAAUGUUGUGUAGUCCCAUAGGAAGGUGAAGGACUAGUGGAUGAGCAGUAGACAAGCACAAAGAAUCGUUGGAGUAGCACUAAGGAAUGCAGAGGAGUAAAAGAGGAAGGCAAAGGACUAGCAAAGAUGAAUGAGCGUCAAAGGACUGUUGGAGGAACGCGAAGGAGCAUGAAAGAACCCUGAGAAGAUAAAAAAACCCACUGGUUCAAGAAGAGACAAUCGAGUGUGACAAAGGCAAGGAACAAAGCAACAAUGAAUGUGGGGUGGUAGAUAAUAGGCAACAAAAUUAGGGGUUUUUAGUUCGAAAGAUAGAAUUUUUAACACAUAUGUGGGUUAUGGCUCACCAUAACCUAGCUCAAACCCAUAAAACUUGUGGGUUAAGUGAUCCGAACUUGUUUUAAGUCAUAAUAAAAGAGGAUUUCAAUUUUUCAAUCUGAC